AUUGGAAGAGGAGGUUCGCAUUUGUAGAUGGUGUGGAGACCUUGGAAGACAUGAAGUGGCCCUUAUCAUACCAGAUCUUUAAAAUGUAACCUCCCCAGGAUACAUGCCUCAACUAAUUCUUCAUUUCACGUCCUCACACUGUCUGAACAAGGGAAAAUGGAACAAGUGAAAGUUCUCAGGAAUUGCUACAUUCGGAAAGCUGCUUUGAGUGGAAAGAAGUGAACACAUGCAGGUGAUGUGCUUUCCACAGGUCUGCGGUCACAACUGCACAAUGAUUUUGAAGUUUGGAAUUUGUUCUCUGAUACAGAAUCUAACAAUUUAAUCUAGUACCCCCUACAAGUUUUAGCCUUUGUGUUUUGUCAUAGAUAUAGGAAUCUUACCCAAAAAGAUUGUGGAGAAUGUUUCUGCACACCAGAAACAGAGCUGGCUUAAUCUCUUGGUUAAACGUGCCAAAAAGGGAGUCCAGGGACCCCAAAAAGAAUAGCCUUGGAUUGGGAUGAUAAACAAAGAGUAACGCAAUAAUAUAGCCUUUUUUACUAGAUUAGAAACCGUCUAACUGAUAUAAAUGAGUAUUAUGUGUUGUGGCCUAGGUGCAGAAGUGUGAGAAUGGCAAGAAUGUCCAACUUAAACAAAAGAAAAGAUACCGUUCAAAGAGGGGCUGUUUUGACUGAGGACGAACAUAUGUUCAAAUGUAUGAGAAACAUGUAUUUACAUGUAGGUUUUGUUGAGGUAAAAAGUAGCAAUAAUGAACUGACAGAUCUACUGUGCAAUCCAAAGUUGGGGGGACAGGGCUGAAGCCAGAUUGGAAAUGGUGGCAUCGGUGUCCAUUCCACCAGCACCACACAAAGUGGCACAGACAUCAGUGCCAAGGGACAUAACAUUGGUGGCUGACCACCACCACCCCUAAAUUCAGAAGCUGAGCUCUUCUGGCAGCCGGCUACUGCUACAAAUGCCUCACUGGUAUAGAAGGGGGCAUUCUGCAAGCACUCCCCAUAUACUUUCAGGCUGGCUGACAAUGGCCCCUUCCAACAGUACAGACUUAUAUCACCAUAAAUGGUGGUGUAGGUCACUUUUUGUUAUGGACUUUUUGUGUGUGGGGUGGGGGGAAGGAGUUUCUCAUCCCCCAGCAUUCUCAUUACCGAUUGCCUCUUUGGAGGCAGUGCAGCUCUGCCCCCCCCCCCUUUGGAUUGGGCUGCUAAUAUAUUUGAAGAAGAUAUUCAAGUAUAGCGAACUUUGUAUGGUGUUUGAAGAUAUAAGAAAUAAUUAGCCAGGAAUGUACACCCUUAUCGAGAAGGCCUGCUAGCUUUCAUUAGGAUAUAAUUAAAAAACCUAUAAAUA